GUUGGAUCUAGAUAAUAAUUACAAUUUAAAAAAAAAUUAUGUUGAUAAAUAAUGGAGACACUCUACUAUUGUAAUAAAGUUAGAAAAAGGUUUAAAAAACUAAUGAAUAACAUUUCUUAUGUCAGUCAUUCAGGUUGACCAUGAACAUUCCAUAUGUCAUACACCAAAACCGUUAAUUACAUAUUUCUCCGAAAAACAUAACUACUGGUUUUGGGAUAUGUUAGCUUGUGGACACAAUGAACAAAAGACAGAGAAAAUGUUAUUUAC